GAGUCUAGCAUGUGCGCGAGUCAUUGGGACUCUAACGAAACCUAAAGGCGCAAUGAAAGUGAAGGUCCGCCUAGCGCGGACCGAGGGAGGAUGGGUGGUCCCGCGGGACCGCCUCGCACUCCCGGGGCGUCUCGUUCUCAUCGCGAGAAGAGGCGCACCCAGAGCGUACACGCUGGGACCCGAAAGAUGGUGAACUAUGCCUGGUCAGGACGAAGUCAGGGGAAACCCUGAUGGAGGUCCGUAGCGAUUCUGACGUGCAAAUCGAUCGUCGGAACUGGGUAUAGGGGCGAAAGACUAAUCGAACCAUCUAGUAGCUGGUUCCCUCCGAAGUUUCCCUCAGGAUAGCUGGCGCUCGCUUCUCGCGAGUCUCAUUCGGUAAAGCGAAUGAUUAGAGGCAUUGGGGUCGAAACGGCCUCAACCUAUUCUCAAACUUUAAAUGGGUGAGAUCUCCGGCUUGCUUGAACUGUGAAGCCGCGAGAUAUCGGAUCAGAGUGCCAAGUGGGCCACUUUUGGUAAGCAGAACUGGCGCUGUGGGAUGAACCAAACGCAGAGUUAAAGCGCCUAAAUCGACGCUUAUGGGAUACCAUGAAAGGCGUUGGUAACUUAAGACAGCAGGACGGUGGCCAUGGAAGUCGGA
rnacentral:rRNA from 1 species